GGAACAUUCAGUAGAUGGCGCCCCACUGGAGGAAGUGGUUAAGGUUUCCAAGUGAAUACCUUACACUGCUGCCUCCACUUUCAGGGAGAGCCCCUUACAACCUUGCUUAGGGAUAAAGCUCUGCAGAGCUGUACAUCUCAGCCUCUGCACCUACCUAGCCCAUCUGGUUCCUCCAGAUCUCCCCAAGCAAGAUUUCAAUGAAACUGAUGAUGCUCCUGGGUUGCCAUGGAGAUGCAAGGAUACAUCUAACUGGAAACCAGGAGCCAAGCUGGAGGCUUUGCUCUACAAUCAUUUCCUUUCCCGGCUCAUUUUCUAAUCCAAACAUUUGAGGGUGAGGUAUCUGGGUCCUUAUUUAAGCCAUCAACUGGAAAGCAGUCAUUGUCCCCGACACCUCAGCAAAGCACAGAGAUUUUCGCAGCCAUAAUAAAGGUCAGGAGAGGAAGAGACAGAGUUAUCUAAAUCCACAGCUGUAUCCAGGUGCAUGAAGAACGGCAGAUUGAGUCUUGAGAAGCCAAUGGAGAACAAGAUGAAGGCAACACAUGUGCUGUUAUUUCUUCUUUCCUCCAUCCCUCUUCCUUUCCUGUAACAACAACAACAACAACAACAGUAAUCACAUCAGCAAGCCUGUGGCCCCUCUGAGCCAAUGGUAUCCAUCCCUCAACAAACAUUCCUCCCAC
rnacentral:lncRNA from 1 species